AACGCACGAGACCUGCGGACCUGCGGAAGGAUCAUUAUAGAGUUUUUAACUCCCAAACCCAUGUGAACUUACCUUUGUUGCCUCGGCGGAGCCUACCCGGUACCUACCCUGUAGCGCCCCGCCGGUGGACUUCUAAACUAUUGUUAUUUUAAUGAUAUCUGAGAGUCUUAUUUUAAUAAGUCAAAACUUUUAGCAAUGGAUCUCU
rnacentral:misc_RNA from 1 species